UGAUAGUAAUAUAGUCAAUUGCAUUAAGUAUAGAUGUUCUCACUCCUUAGAAACUUAAACAAGAUGUCAAGGACUUUCGUUCUGCAUUUCUGGGCCUGUGGAGCAGAUGGUAGGCCCAGUACCAGGAGCAUCUUUCUGAUAUGGCAGCUGCCAUGCAAAGAGCGCAGCUUGGCUCUGAAAGUCUGCAAGGGAGACAAGCUCUUUAAGGGUGCUCAGUUUGAGGACCAUGAGCAUCGAAUUGUGCUGGCCAAUCUCAGCUCCUGGAAACCCUGGC
rnacentral:lncRNA from 1 species